rnacentral:rRNA from 1 species
ACGGGAGGCAGCAGUGGGGAAUAUUGGUCAAUGGGGGAAACCCUGAACCAGCGACGCCGCGUGAGGGAAGACGGUUUUCGGAUUGUAAACCUCUGUCUUCGGGGACGAAGAAAGUGACGGUACCCGAGGAGGAAGCCACGGCUAACUACGUGCCAGCAGCCGCGGUAAUACGUAGGUGGCAAGCGUUGUCCGGAAUUACUGGGUGUAAAGGGAGCGUAGGCGGGUAGACAAGUUAAAUGUGAAACCUAUCGGCUCAACUGAUAGUUGCGUUUAAAACUGUAUAUCUUGAGUGAAGUAGAGGCAAGCGGAAUUCCCAGUGUAGCGGUGAAAUGCGUAGAUAUUGGGAGGAACACCAGUGGCGAAGGCGGCUUGCUGGGCUUUAACUGACGCUGAAGCUCGAAAGUGUGGGGAGCAAACAGGAUUAGAUACCCUGGUA